GGCGAUGACCUACUCUCGCAUGGCUUGAGCCACACUACCAUCGGCGCAGCUGCGUUUCACUUCCGAGUUCGGGAUGGGAUCGGGUGGUUCCACAGCGCUAAUUUC
rnacentral:rRNA from 1 species